AGUCCAACGCUCUAACCACUAGGCUACCUGCUGGUUACUAGUCCAACGCUCUAACCACUAGGCUACCUGCUGGUUACUAGUCCAACGCUCUAACCACUAGGCUACCUGCUGGUUACUAGUCCAACGCUCUAACCACUAGGCUACCUGUCGCUCUAACCACUAGGCUACCUGCUGGUUACUAGUCCAACGCUCUAACCACUAGGCUACCUGCUGGUUACUGGUCCAACGCUCUAACCACUAGGCUACCUGCUGGUUACUAGUCCAACGCUCUAACCACUAGGCUACCUGCUGGUUACUAGUCCAACACUCUAACCACUAGGCUACCUGCUGGUUACUAGUCCAACGCUCUAACCACUAGGCUACCUGCUGGUUACUAGUCCAACGCUCUAACCACUAGGCUACCUGCUGGUUACUAGUCCAACGCUCUAACUACUAGGCUACCUGCCGCCCCUGCAACGGGUGUUGCUGAAUUCAAUCAUUUGAAGGGUUGUCCACAUACUUCUGUGUAUAUAUAGUGUAGAUAUACCAAUGUUUUUCUACUGAGUUAGUUUUGGUACAGUUGAAUGAUUCCAUGUUUCUAUUGGCUAGGAUUUCUGGGUCAUAUUCAUUAGUUCACACUGUAGCAAAACAUUUUUUUGCCACGGAUAACAAAUUGAACAACUUCAGCUUCUACCUACCUCCCUUGUCCAAUUUUUAAAGUAAUGAUGUGUUAUUAUAAUAUGGACAGACAGCUAGCUCUCUACUCUUAUCAAAUACUCUCUUUUUUUUUUAUGUGUUCUUAUUUACUGCUCUGUUGACCUGACCCCCUUGACCUGUUGACCUGACCCCCUUGACCUGUUGACCUGACCCCCUUGACCUGUUGACCUGACCCCCUUGACCUGUUGGACCUGACCCCCUUGACCUGUUGGACCUGACCCCCUUAAACAAAACAAAUGCUUAAACUCUUUGUGAAGUAAAGUACUAGACACAAAAAUGAACUUUGGCUGUGCUUAGGCAGGGGGUGGGGGGGGGUUAAAACAUGUUAUAGUAGUUUAUAUUCUUCAAAGUAGCCACCCUUUGCCUCGAUGACAGCUUUGCACACUUUUGGCAUUCUCUCAACCAGCUUCACCUGGAAUUCUUUUCCAGCAGUCUUCAAGGAGUUCCCACAUAUGCUGAGCACUUGUUGGCUGCUUUUUCUUCACCCUGUGGUCCAACUCAUCCCAACCCAUCUCAACUGGGUCGUGGACGGGUGAUUGUGUCUAUUCUUUCAGUCUCACUCCUCCUUUCAGCUGUCUGUCUAUUCUCUCCAUCCCUGUUUGAGGCAGAAGGAGAGAGAGAGAGGGAGGGAUUGGCUAAAUGACAAAUCACUCCCUUCCCCCUCAGCCCUCCAUUUGCUCGUUCACGCUCGCCUCCGACAUAUCCACAAAUCGCCACUUCGACCGAGCCAGCAAGGAUUAAGAGCAAAGUGAUAUCCCAACAUGCACUCCAAUAUCUUUGUGCAAUUUUAUAAAUAAAUAAAAUAAUUGAGAGGCUUGCAUAAUUCUAUGCCACGUGCAUUUUGUUUUUGUCUGAUUUCAUCACUUGAUACAUGUAACAGAUGAAAUACCUCCC
rnacentral:lncRNA from 1 species